rnacentral:tRNA from 1 species
UGAAGAUUUGAAAUUUAGGCUGCUAACUUGAAUUCGGGAAAUUGUAUUUUCCAUCUUCAU